rnacentral:rRNA from 1 species
ACGGAGGGUGCAAGCGUUAAUCGGAAUUACUGGGCGUAAAGCGCACGCAGGCGGUUUGUUAAGUCAGAUGUGAAAUCCCCGAGCUUAACUUGGGAACUGCAUUUGAAACUGGCAAGCUAGAGUCUUGUAGAGGGGGGUAGAAUUCCAGGUGUAGCGGUGAAAUGCGUAGAGAUCUGGAGGAAUACCGGUGGCGAAGGCGGCCCCCUGGACAAAGACUGACGCUCAGGUGCGAAAGCGUGGGGAGCAAACAGG